rnacentral:rRNA from 1 species
GACGAACGCUGGCGGCGUGCUUAACACAUGCAAGUCGAACGGAAAGGCCCUGCUUUUGUGGGGUGCUCGAGUGGCGAACGGGUGAGUAGCACGUGAGUAACCUGCCCUUGACUUUGGGAUAACUUCAGGAAACUGGGGCUAAUACCGGAUAGGAGCUCCUGCUGCAUGGUGGGGGUUGGAAAGUUUCGGCGGUUGGGGAUGGACUCGCGGCUUAUCAGCUUGUUGGUGGGGUAGUGGCUUACCAAGGCUUUGACGGGUAGCCGGCCUGAGAGGGUGACCGGCCACAUUGGGACUGAGAUACGGCCGAGAGUCCUACGGGAGGCAGCAGUGGGGAAUAUUGCACAAUGGGCGGAAGCCUGAUGCAGCAACGCCGCGUGCGGGAUGACGGCCUUCGGGUUGUAAACAGCUUUCGCCGGUGACGAAGCGUGAGUGACGGUAAUGGGUAAAGAGGCACCGGCUAACUACGUG